UUCGGGGAAGGAUAACGGCGUCGAGCGGCGGACGGGUGAGUAAUGCCUAGGAAAUUGCCCUGAUGUGGGGGAUAACCAUUGGAAACGAUGGCUAAUACCGCAUGAUGCCUACGGGCCAAAGAGGGGGACCUUCGGGCCUCUCGCGUCAGGAUAUGCCUAGGUGGGAUUAGCUAGUUGGUGAGGUAAGGGCUCACCAAGGCGACGAUCCCUAGCUGGUCUGAGAGGAUGAUCAGCCACACUGGAACUGAG
rnacentral:rRNA from 1 species